ACUCCUACGGGAGGCAGCAGUAGGGAAUCUUCCGCAAUGGACGAAAGUCUGACGGAGCAACGCCGCGUGAGUGAUGAAGGUUUUCGGAUCGUAAAGCUCUGUUGUUAGGGAAGAACAAGUACCGUUCGAAUAGGGCGGUACCUUGACGGUACCUAACCAGAAAGCCACGGCUAACUACGUGCCAGCAGCCGCGGUAAUACGUAGGUGGCAAGCGUUGUCCGGAAUUAUUGGGCGUAAAGGGCUCGCAGGCGGUUUCUUAAGUCUGAUGUGAAAGCCCCCGGCUCAACCGGGGAGGGUCAUUGGAAACUGGGGAACUUGAGUGCAGAAGAGGAGAGUGGAAUUCCACGUGUAGCGGUGAAAUGCGUAGAGAUGUGGAGGAACACCAGUGGCGAAGGCGACUCUCUGGUCUGUAACUGACGCUGAGGAGCGAAAGCGUGGGGAGCGAACAGGAUUAGAUACCCUGGUAGUCCACGCCGUAAACGAUGAGUGCUAAGUGUUAGGGGGUUUCCGCCCCUUAGUGCUGCAGCUAACGCAUUAAGCACUCCGCCUGGGGAGUACGGUCGCAAGACUGAAACUCAAAGGAAUUGACGGGGGCCCGCACAAGCGGUGGAGCAUGUGGUUUAAUUCGAAGCAACGCGAAGAACCUUACCAGGUCUUGACAUCCUCUGACAAUCCUAGAGAUAGGACGUCCCCUUCGGGGGCAGAGUGACAGGUGGUGCAUGGUUGUCGUCAGCUCGUGUCGUGAGAUGUUGGGUUAAGUCCCGCAACGAGCGCAACCCUUGAUCUUAGUUGCCAGCAUUCAGUUGGGCACUCUAAGGUGACUGCCGGUGACAAACCGGAGGAAGGUGGGGAUGACGUCAAAUCAUCAUGCCCCUUAUGACCUGGGCUACACACGUGCUACAAUGGACAGAACAAAGGGCAGCGAAACCGCGAGGUUAAGCCAAUCCCACAAAUCUGUUCUCAGUUCGGAUCGCAGUCUGCAACUCGACUGCGUGAAGCUGGAAUCGCUAGUAAUCGCGGAUC
rnacentral:rRNA from 1 species